rnacentral:rRNA from 1 species
UACGUAGGUGGCGAGCGUUGUCCGGAAUUACUGGGUGUAAAGGGCGUGUAGGCGGGAUGGUAAGUCAGAUGUGAAAUUCCGAAGCUUAACUUCGGCGCUGCAUCUGAAACUAUCGUUCUUGAGUGCUGGAGAGGAAAGCGGAAUUCCUAGUGUAGCGGUGAAAUGCGUAGAUAUUAGGAGGAACACCAGUGGCGAAGGCGGCUUUCUGGACAGUAACUGACGCUGAGGCGCGAAAGCGUGGGGAGCAAACAGG